rnacentral:lncRNA from 1 species
GGCCCCGCGGGGGGUGACGUGAAGCUUGGCGCUGUGUUGCAACUUGGUCGGUUGGCGGUUACCUCUAGCCAUUAUAGAGAACAACUAAAAGGAAGUCUGUGUUUGCAGAGGCCCAAACUUGGAGAACCUUGCAUUAAACCCGUAUCUGUGAACCCAAGGCGGAAGACAGAGGCAACAGAUGACAGGGUACUCUUUGCUGCCAGUGCCCAGCUUGGGAAUACUUUUCAACACUGUAUCUGGUAACUCACUAGCAAUCAAUCAGAAAUGGCAGGUAAGAUGAAACUUACUACUUGGCACACCCCAUCUGGUGUUUAUUUAAAGGAGAGUCAAGGAUGGUGAGGAGUCUAGAAACCACAUUUUAUGGUGAGUAAUUAAGAGCACUGGAGUAACUCAUAAAUUCACAUGAUGUUAUAGUGGAAAGAUUCUCUGCAUCUCCUAUUUGAAGCAAAUUUAUUUAUUUAUUUAUUUAUUUAUUUAGGAGAAGUCAUUGAGAAGACAGUAUCAUUCCUAUUCUUCAUUCAUCCUUUCUUUGAUUUCCACUCGGUUGUAUUUAUGUAAUUUAUUUAAUUAUAUAUACAAUAACUACAAAUAUACAUAUGAAGAAUACAAUGCAGCUUACAAACCAAGGCAAAAAGAUAGAUAUUAUCAGUUCUAUAAUUCUCAUUAGAAGAAAUUGGGAUCUCCUAGUAGAUUGUUUUUAAUAACGGCCACAUUAUUUCUUCCUUGUAUUUACUCACUUUUGCGAUGUGACUCUGUAGCUGCUUUUAGCAACAGGUGGGGACUAUUUUCCCACCCCUUCAAUCUGGUCUGGCUUGAGACUUGCCUUGAACAACAUUAUGCAGCAGAUGUAAUGUUGUGCCAUUCUGAGCCUAGACCUCAAGGGGCCUUGUAAUACUCCCCUCCACAAACCCUGCCCUGCCUCUGAGGCAAGUCAGCCUAGCCUGCGGCAGCAUAAGAGAACACACAGAACACAACUGAAUAGUGCCUCUCUCAGGGCUUAGGCCUCAUUCCUGUGAGACAGCAAGAUCAGAGACCUGACCCAGAUGAGCAGAACUGCUCAGUCUACCAUAGACUCACAGGCAAUGAUAAAUGCUUAUUGUUUUAUCCCCACUGAGUUUUGAGGAGAGUUUAGUUUGUUGUGUAGCAAUAGAUCACUGAUACAGACCUUCUGGAGGAAAGCAAAGC